UACGGAGGGUGCAAGCGUUAUCCGGAUUCACUGGGUUUAAAGGGUGCGUCGGAGGGCAGGUAAGUCAGUGGUGAAAUCUCCGAGCUUAACUUGGAAACUGCCGUUGAUACUAUCUGUCUUGAAUAUUGUGGAGGUGAGCGGAAUAUGUCAUGUAGCGGUGAAAUGCUUAGAUAUGACAUAGAACACCAAUUGCGAAGGCAGCUCGCUACACAUAUAUUGACUCUGAGGCACGAAAGCGUGGGGAUCAAACAGG
rnacentral:rRNA from 1 species